AUGAUGCCUGGAGGCUCAUUGGAGGCUUACCAGUACAUUGAAGACAUUCUUCUCAAGGUGUCUGCUCAAGUCCCUGACAGCGGCCCGUGUGUGACAUACAUUGGGAAGGGUGGAUCUGGAAACUUUGUCAAGAUGGUUCACAAUGGUAUCGAGUACGGUGACAUGCAACUGAUCGCUGAGGCAUAUGAUGUUCUCAAGUCGGUUGGUAAGCUCACAAACGGUGAGCUGCAGCAGGUUUUCGCCGAGUGGAACAAGGGUGAGCUCCUCAGUUUCUUGGUUGAGAUCACUGCUGAUAUAUUCGGCAUCAAGGAUGACCAGGGUGAAGGCUACUUGGUCGACAAGGUCCUGGACAAGACUGGGAUGAAGGGAACCGGCAAGUGGACAGUGCAGCAGGCUGCCGAGCUCUCAGUGGCUGCUCCUACCAUUGAGGCGUCCUUGGAUUCCAGGUUCCUCAGCGGGUUGAAGGACGAGAGGGUGGCUGCUUCCAAGAUCUUCCAGGAUGACUACAGCAGCGGCGAAACUGUUGACAAGGCACAGCUCAUCGAGGAUGUGAGGAAAGCUCUGUAUGCCUCCAAGAUCUGCAGCUACGCCCAGGGCAUGAACAUCAUCAAGGCCAAGAGCACGGAGAAGGGAUGGGGCCUCAACCUGGGCGAGCUGGCCAGGAUCUGA
rnacentral:rRNA from 1 species